CCUAAGGUAAUUUACUUGCCCAACCCUGGUUGACUGUGUCCAGGUGCACCCAUCCCACUUUAGUCAAUCCUGUUAUGUCGCUGGCCCUUCGUAACUAGGUGGCGUUAUGCACACCUGGCGGGCAAUUUAAAUAUUAGUCUGAUCAGAAUAAUUGAAUUUAAAUAAUUAUUUUAUCCUUCUUUUAUUUUAUACUGCGUAUUUGGGGCACGUGUUUUCCGGAGAAGAACGAUGCAUUAUUUCAAUUUUCGAAUAUAGAGGUCCAUUGGAAGAAAAGGAAAAUAUAGACCGUUGAAAUAAACAUAGGAAUAAACACUCUGAAAUAAUAUCGGGUUUCUGUUGAUUUUUCUCGAGUCGCCAUAAACAUCGUAAAAUUUUAUGCGUCUGCUUUCCAAGAGGGUCCAUGACUAAUCAUGAACAGACCUCCUUUUGUGUCCUUUGUUUCCUUGUGAGAAACGUCAUUUUCUCCUGGAACACGUGUGUCCCAAAGUUGAGAGACUAGGCAACGUUGACUGCAUCGCAACGUCGCCUAGCUUUCUCCCUUCAGUUUCUAUUAGCAUGUAAGAACAUAGGAGAUGCGUGCGCAACUUUGGAAAAGAGUAGGGGAAGUAAGACCCUUCGAGGGGCAGUUUUUGAAUAUCUAGAGGCAGUUCUACGACAUAGUUUUCAGAGUUCAGAUCUUUUACCUUUUCAAAUAAUUAGAGUUUUGAAGUUUUGUUGAUUGAAUAAAUAGUUUACGUGCUCUCCCGAA